AAAGUCAACUUGGUUACAGGAGCUUUGGUUCCAUUUUCAAAACAAUAUAAGUAACAAACAAAAAAAAGUCCAUAUACAUAUGUCAGUCCCUUGAACUGUAAGGGAACUACAACACCUAAAAGCUGCUUUUAUAGGGAAUUUGAUAACACCACCAGAAGCUACUUCUUGCAGCUUCUCUUACAGAGUAGAAGGUAUUCUAAAGUAUAGAAUGGCUUCUACUUUGAAAAAAGAAGCUACCACCAAAUGCACUUUUCUAUCAGGAAGACACUUGCUACCAGCAACCUUAGUAUGACUUUCAUUUCUUAUUUCAAAAUUUUCAAUACUUACAUGAUAUGCAAUUAUUUAAAAUAUUCCUUAGUAUUUCUAGAAGUUUUGAUUUAUAUUUAUUAACUAUUGAGUCGAGUCAUGUUGAGUCUUUGAGUCAACUUGACCCAGAUGAAUAUGGAGUCAAGUUUUUGGGUGAUUCUAUCAACAAUGGCUGACUUUGUUUUCCAUUUCUCUAUGAUGAUCCAGAAUCCGAGCAAGGAAUAUUUGAACAGGUUUUGAAUGGGGACCUUGACUUUUCAUCCGAUCCAUGGCCUAGUAUCUCUGAGAGUGCAAAAGAUUUAGCAUGGAGAAUGCUUAUUAGAGACCUAAAAAAGCGGCUGACCGCCCAUCAAGUUCUGUGCCAUCCAUGGGUUCAGGUUGAUGGUAUAGCUCCUGAUAAGCCUCUUGAUUCUGCAGUUCUAAGUCGCAUGAAGCAAUUCUCUGCUAUGAACAAGAUCAAGAAAAUGGCCCUCAGAGUGACUCAAGUUGCUUGCUGAAAUUUGUACUUUAUCUACAACUAGUUGAAGGCGAACUUAACCUCAACCCAUUUUUAGAAGCAUUUUGCCCUUGAAAAGCGAAUUAAGCAGCAUAAGAAGAAAUGAGUCCCAUUUUUAUUUUCUUUGAUCAAUCUGAAUUUUAUUAGAAAAGGAGUUGGUGAUCUCCACUAUCAUAGCCUUGUUUCAGCUUUCAUCUUUUUAGAUCCUGCUUUUAUAGAUCUAAAAGGAAAUAUAUUACAAUAAAUGUUAUCUUGUUAUUGUAUGGAUAUGUCACUGUUAUGUUUCCAUAGUGAACAUGUCUGACCGCAUAUUUAUACAGAUCUCUAGGGUCCUCUGUCUCUCUGGUGUUGGGUAUGGUCUAUCAGGUCAUGUACUAGCAAUGGUAAAAGCAAUACUAUUGUUUAAAUUUUUAA